rnacentral:rRNA from 1 species
UACGGUCACAUCACGCUGAAACACCGGUUCUCGUACGAUCACCGAAGUUAAGCAGCGUAGAGCCAGGUCAGUACUUAGAUGGGGGACCGCUUGGGAACACCUGGUACUGUAAG